rnacentral:tRNA from 1 species
UGGGCUAUAGCCAAGCGGUAAGGCACUGGACUUUGACUCCAUUAUGCGCUGGUUCGAAUCCAGCUAGCCCAG